rnacentral:rRNA from 1 species
AUUGAACGCUGGCGGCAUGCCUUACACAUGCAAGUCGAACGGCAGCACGGGAGCAAUCCUGGUGGCGAGUGGCGAACGGGUGAGUAAUAUAUCGGAACGUGCCCAGUAGUGGGGGAUAGCCCGGCGAAAGCCGGAUUAAUACCGCAUACGACCUAAGGGUGAAAGCGGGGGACCGUAAGGCCUCGCGCUAUUGGGGCGGCCGAUAUCAGAUUAGGUAGUUGGUAGGGUAAAAGCCUACCAAGCCAUCGAUCUGUAGCUGGUCUGAGAGGACGACCAGCCACAAGGGGACUGGGACACGGCCCAGACUCCUACGGGAGGCAGCAGUGGGGAAUUUUGGACAAUGGGCGAAAGCCUGAUCCAGCCAUGCCGCGUGCAGGAAGAAGGCCUUCGGGUUGUAAACUGCUUUUGUCGGGGAAGAGACGCUCUGGGCUAAUACCCUGGGGUAAUGACGGUACCCGAAGAAUAAGCACCGGCUAACUACGUGCCAGCAGCCGCGGUAA